GGCGGCAUGCCUAACACAUGCAAGUCGAACGGGAUCCAGGCUUCGGCCUGGUGAGAGUGGCGGACGGGUGAGUAACGCGUGGGAACCUGCCCAAUGGUCUGGGAUAACCGCGGGAAACUGCGGCUAAUACCGGAUAAGCCCGAAAGGGGAAAGAUUUAUCGCCGAUGGAGGGGCCCGCGUCAGAUUAGGUAGUUGGUGGGGUAAUGGCCUACCAAGCCUACGAUCUGUAGCUGGUCUGAGAGGAUGAUCAGCCACACUGGGACUGAGAUACGGCCCAGACUCCUACGGGAGGCAGCAGUGGGGAAUAUUGGACAAUGGGGGCAACCCUGAUCCAACAAUGCCGCGUGAGUGAUGAAGGCCUUAGGGUUGUAAAGCUCUUUUGGCGGGGACGAUGAUGACGGUACCC
rnacentral:rRNA from 1 species